GAUGAACGCUGACAGAAUGCUUAACACAUGCAAGUCUACUUGAACUUCGGUUUGGGUGCGGACGGGUAGUUAACGCGUAAAGAACUCGCCUCACAGUUAGGGACAACAUUUGGAAACGAAUGCUAAUACCUGAUAUUAUGAUUUUAGGGCAUCCUAAGAUUAUGAAAGCUAUAUGCGCUGUGAGAGAGCUUUGCGUCCCAUUAGCUAGUUGGAGAGGUAACGGCUCACCAAGGCGAUGAUGGGUAGCCGGCCUGAGAGGGUGAACGGCCACAAGGGGACUGAGACACGGCCCUUACUCCUACGGGAGGCAGCAGUGGGGAAUAUUGGACAAUGGACCAAAAGUCUGAUCCAGCAAUUCUGUGUGCACGAUGACGUUUUUCGGAAUGUAAAGUGCUUUCAGUUGGGAAGAAAAAAAUGACGGUACCAACAGAAGAAGUCGGUA
rnacentral:rRNA from 1 species